rnacentral:rRNA from 1 species
GACGAACGCUGGCGGCGUGCCUAAUACAUGCAAGUAGAACGCUGAAGGAGGAGCUUGCUUCUCUGGAUGAGUUGCGAACGGGUGAGUAACGCGUAGGUAACCUGCCUGGUAGCGGGGGAUAACUAUUGGAAACGAUAGCUAAUACCGCAUAAGAGUAGAUGUCGCAUGACAUUUGCUUAAAAGGUGCACUUGCCUCACUACCAGAUGGACCUGCGUUGUAUUAGCUAGUUGGUGAGGUAACGGCUCACCAAGGCAACGCUACAUAGCCGACCUGCCAGGGUGAUCGGCCAAACUGGGAAUGAGACACGGCCCAGACUCCUACGGGAGGCAGCAGUAGGGAAUCUUCGGCAAUGGACGGAAGUCUGACCGGGCAACGCCGCGUGAGUGAAGAAGGUUUUCGGAUCGUAAAGCUCUGUUGUAAGGGAAGAACGAGUGUGAGAGUGGAAAGUUCACACUGUGACGGUAUCUGACCAGAAAGGGACGGCUAACUACGUG